UACGUAGGGUGCGAGCGUUGUCCGGAUUUAUUGGGCGUAAAGAGCUCGUAGGCGGCUUGUCGCGUCGGAUGUGAAAGCCCGGGGCUUAACUCCGGGUCUGCAUUCGAUACGGGCAGGCUAGAGUGUGGUAGGGGAGAUCGGAAUUCCUGGUGUAGCGGUGAAAUGCGCAGAUAUCAGGAGGAACACCGGUGGCGAAGGCGGAUCUCUGGGCCAUUACUGACGCUGAGGAGCGAAAGCGUAGGGAGCGAACAGG
rnacentral:rRNA from 1 species